CGGACCUUCUGCCCUGAGGGUGAACUGCGGGCUGGUAUUUCCGCAGCCCAGGGUCCCCACCCCGCCUCGCCUCUCCCCAGGCCGGUGCCGCCCAGCUCCCUGGGCACAUCACGACCCUUUCACGCUGUCAGGGCCAGUGCCCGUAGCGGGCCGCGAAGUGGAGCAUAAGGUGAAGAUUCGGGAGGGGAGCUGUGGCUCCGGGGACAGCGCGGGGCGGGGAGGGGGAGGGGGACGGCGCCGGGUGUGCGGGCGGACGCGGGCUCGCGGUCCCGCCAACGCCUGCGUUGGGAUCUUGGGGACCGCGAGGGGAGAGAGGACGAAAAUCCUGUUGGGGAGGAAGGACGCACUCGCAGGCUUGUCUCCUGCCUGCUCCCUGGCGAUCUAGGCUCUAGCCCUUCGGCUCCGCUGCCCGCGGCAGCUCUGGACUCAUCCAGUCUGUCCAGCCUCAAGAAGACGAGCCCAAGGGUCAAAGAUGACCCUCGACCCUCGCUCUCUUCCCGCAACUCGGAUGCGACGUGCCUUGCGCGCCGGGGUUCUUGCCCAAGAACGGAGGCGCCCGGGCGCCCCUGCGCGGAACCACCGGGACCGGGCCUAGGGUCCAGAGCCGGGGCCUCGUGCUCGGUGCCGUGCAGAACGCGGCCGGGCCUGGUCCCAGCGCCGAGCACCACGCGCCCAGGGGCCUGCGGAGCCACCGCGACGCCCGGGACGCGCCAGCGCGGCCGGAGGAGAGAGCUCGGCAGGUGCCCGUCGUUCCUGUGGGUUCGUGGUAGCAGCUGCCCCAGGGGCCGGUCCGGUGGGCGAGGGCCCCGGGUACGCCCCGCUUGAGGCCGGUCCUCUCUGCGCGGGCGCGGCGCUGUGGACCAGGGGACCCAAAGAGCCAGGUUCGAUUGGAGACCAACGUUUAAUUUACAACUCCACUGAAUCAGUGUUUUGCUUGGAAAUUCAUCGUGCGAUAUGUUUUCAUUAGGUAAAAAUAGGAGCUUGGGAGCCGAGCUGGAGCCGGGUUCCGACCCGCGGUCACCCGUGUUGGUGGUUGUGCUGGUCUGGCCUGGGGCAAAGGGAAGGAAGAAAACUCGGCCUCUCCUGCGGGGCUCCGGACAAGCCAAGAGAGCCUCGAGGGUCGACUCUGGGCUCAGCGACCGGCCGCACCUGGCGCUCAGACGACGUUUGUUGACCGAAUAAAUGAACUAAUGUAGGCCUGGAGACGUGUUCG
rnacentral:lncRNA from 1 species